UGAUUUGUUUUAGGUCAGAUCCCAAUUAACAGUUCCAUUCCAUUUCCAUCCAUCUAACUCCAAGCACAGCACAGCUGCACAGCCCAGCCCCUGCGCGUCCCUCACCGAGCCCUCAUCUCUCAUCUAUCUGUGUCGAAUUCCGGCCCACCACCACACCACACAGCCUUCCUUCACCACACAGCCACCGCUCUCUCUCACAAUCUCUCUCUCGGGCGAUUUUCUCUCGCGAUCUCUCUCACCACCACACCGAGUCCGAGUCUCACUCUCACCCCAAAUUAGGUAAUUAAUUUAGUGUUUUGAAAUCUAAUUUCUGUUGGUAGAUUUUGCUUUGAAGUUUUCAAAUGGUUUUAAGAUUUAAUUUUUUGUUUUGUUAUUCCGUAACCUGACUAUUGUUGUUUUAUUGUUUGAUUUUAUUAGAAGGUUAUCUUAAUUAUGGCUCUAUAUCUUUCGUUGGUGCUUUGAUCUCUUUAUUGCUCAUAUCUUCCUUCAUGUUGCAGCUUUAUUAGUUGAGCGAGCAGCAUCCUUGAAGUUGACGAAUAUGUGAGAGUCCCAUUGGGUUACUGCCAAUGACCAAAUGUAGAUGUUAUGCAAAUGGAUGGGAAUGGCAUUUACAGUAAAACGUUUAGAUC
rnacentral:lncRNA from 1 species